UACAGAGGGUGCGAGCGUUGUCCGGAAUCAUUGGGCGUAAAGAGCGUGUAGGCGGUUCGGUAAGUCGGCUGUGAAAGUCCAGGGCUCAACCCUGGGAUGCCGGUCGAUACUGCCGGACUAGAGUUCGGAAGAGGCGAGUGGAAUUCCCGGUGUAGCGGUGAAAUGCGCAGAUAUCGGGAGGAACACCUAUGGCGAAGGCAGCUCGCUGGGACGUUACUGACGCUGAGACGCGAAAGCGUGGGGAGCAAACAGG
rnacentral:rRNA from 1 species